rnacentral:lncRNA from 1 species
AAAAAAAAAAGAAAAAAGAAACAAACAUACGGUACUACUACUAUAUGGGCCAUAAAAUACCAUGAUUUUGACACCAUACAACCGCGAGCUAUAAACCAGUCAUUCAACAGACUUUGAAGUACCACCAGGAGGGAACGUAGAAGAAAAUAAGAGGAUUAAUUCACGAGUUGCAACUUGCAAACUGACCGCUUACAUCGUUCACAUGUGGAAUAUUUUAACACCAAGCAGCAGCAUGGAAACUAUUAAGGAACAGACGGGUACACUGGAAGGCCUCUAUGGCAAUUGCAUCCCCACGGUGCACAACACAGUAUUCUUGUUAUUCAAGAUGGCCUCAUCAGAUUUUAGGCAAGUCUUGAUCAAAUACAUUCUAAAAUUUUGUUUAGUAACAGUAUUACCGAGUCCGUUGUAGUUUUGAUGGAUGGCUCUAUAGAGCGUCCUUGGACAGCAGGUUCUGCAACUGGAUCUUCCG